UACGGAGGGUGCAAGCGUUAAUCGGAAUCACUGGGCGUAAAGCGCUCGUAGGCUGUUUGGUCAGUCAGAUGUGAAAGCCCUCGGCUUAACCGGGGAACUGCAUUUGAUACUGCCAGACUUGAGUGUCGGAGAGGGUGGCGGAAUUCCGGGUGUAGGAGUGAAAUCCGUAGAUAUCCGGAGGAACACCAGUGGCGAAGGCGGCCACCUGGACGACAACUGACGCUGAGGAGCGAAAGCGUGGGGAGCAAACAGG
rnacentral:rRNA from 2 species